GAGGACUCAGUUCAACCCACAGCGGUUAAAUACCCUGAAUUUCACCCCAGCGCCAGCCCUGGCUUCCCAGAGAGGAGGGUGGUACGCGGCACAUUUUUCUUCUGGGGACUGCAGUCAAGGGAGCGAGCAGCGACUCAGCCCGGGAGAUGGCGGCCCCCAAGAAGACGGCUUCUGUCACCAGCAAGCAGAAGAUGGCAUGAGGGUUCCCGCCCCAGUGCGGCCCCGGCCGGCUUUGUAACCUUCCGGGGGCUGCUUGAGGCUUCGUCUAGAGGGAGGGUCUGGCCUUCCGUGGACACGCAUCGUGAGGGUGACAUGGCAGAGCCAGCACUAGGACUUUCACGAGGACGAGGUGUGAGCUGCUGCCUGGGUCCUGCGUGGCUUGCCCGCCCUCCUGGGUGGAUGCUGACGUCUCCCACCCAGGGUCCUUUCCCCACUGUCCUUCAACGGAUCGGUUCAGAAAUGGGCAUGAGACCCAAUAGAGGGAGACUCCUGGGAAACGUUCUUCUCUCACUUCAGAGAGAUCCUGGGAGGAUGGACCACCUUCCUCUCCGUGUGAGUCCCCCGUGUCAGCGUGACGCCCCGAUCGCUAAGCCUUCUCACACCAGCCUGUGUUGGGAACUGUGAAGGGCCUGACGCUAGUAAGUUAGUCCGCCCUGGUGUUGAACAUGCCGGCAGGACACAAGCGUCCUGGAUCAGAGCCAAAGAGCUUUGCCCCCCGCAGCGCAGCCGGAGCUGGAGUUCCCUUCCCCGGACGUGGACCAGGUAGGUGCUGUGCGUGCCGAGGAAUGGUGAGCGUAGGGAACCUGAACCUUUCAUGGGGGCUGCAGGCAAACUUGCCUGAUCAUACCCGGAGAACAGAUCCCCUUGCCCUCCACGUGGAGGGGCGUUCUCUCUGUCAAGGCCGCUUGCUAAACAGGCAUCCUUGAAAAGACAGUCUGGAGCACAGGCUGCCCGUGAGUGUGCUUGUGACAUGUGCAGAAGUGUGCAGGGCUGUGGGAAACUGCGACACGGCGAAGGUGG